CCGAGUUUACAACUCCCAAACCCCUGUGAACAUACCUAUCGUUGCUUCGGCGAGCCUCGCCCCGGCGCCCCUCGGGCCCGGACGUGGGCGCCCGCCGGAGGAUAACCAAACCUCUAUUGUCUCUAUGAGUAUCUUCUGAGUGACACAAGUAAAUGAAUCA
rnacentral:misc_RNA from 1 species